UACGGAGGGGGCUAGCGUUGUUCGGAAUUACUGGGCGUAAAGCGCACGUAGGCGGCUUGAAAAGUUGGGGGUGAAAGCCCGGAGCUCAACUCCGGAAUUGCCUUCAAAACUCUUAAGCUAGAGUUCGGAAGAGGAGAGUGGAAUUCCCAGUGUAGAGGUGAAAUUCGUAGAUAUUGGGAAGAACACCAGUGGCGAAGGCGGCUCUCUGGUCCGAUACUGACGCUGAGGUGCGAAAGCGUGGGGAGCAAACAGGAUUAGAAACCCCUGUAGU
rnacentral:rRNA from 1 species